UUAAAUUGAAGAGUUUGAUCAUGGCUCAGAUUGAACGCUGGCGGCAGGCCUAACACAUGCAAGUCGAACGGUAACAGGAAGAAGCUUGCUUCUUUUCUGACGAGUGGCGGACGGGUGAGUAAUGUCUGGGAAACUGCCUGAUGGAG
rnacentral:rRNA from 1 species